CAAUGCCUGAUCCCCAAGCAAAGCCAAUCACUCCUAAUUCCCACCUGUUCCACAGCUGGGCUGCAGACUUGGUCCUUUCUGCAGGUGUCCCAGAAAGUCUCCCUGGAUUACUGUUGAGCUUUUUUAAGCAGCUGCUGCUGGAGAAAAAUGAAGCUGCCGUAAGUGUGGGUGCGUGUGUGUCCCUUGGGCAUCUCUCCUCGGGCAGGGGGCUGCUCAGGAUACCCUCAAGUGCGCAGUCCUGCUUGCAGAAGCAUCUCAGUCAGACUGAGGGCUGAAUUCCCCAGCAGAUGCCGAUGACAAGGUACAAAACUCGCUGGGAGACGGAGUGAGGAAGUCCACGUGUGCACAUGCUGCAGAACCUGCUCCUCUUCCUACAGAAACCUGCUUUCGGAAACUCAUCUGCCUCCUGUGUUUCCUGCAGAACUCUGCGGUAUGUUGCCCAGGCUCCAUGUAUAAAAGAGGAAAGCUACAAAAAUGUUGCAACCGUGAGCUCUGAAGCUUAGCGGGCUGGAAGUGUUUGCUCCACUGCCUAGCACCAGGAGCAUGGUGAUGGGCUGGUCUCCUCCGGGAAGCAGAUCCACGCGGGAGAUGCUCUCAGGGCUGUGGGCAGCUGCCACCAGUGCCGGUGACAUCCCUUGGCUGCUGUGGCAGGAGCAGGAAAGAUCUGAUCCAUCGCUUUGAAAUAAAUCCCGGAGCUGGGACACGGCGCAUGGGAGUUGCCAUCAAGCGGCUUCUGCUUAAGAAUUCUCCCCGUGAGUUUCAAAGCCUGGAUGUAUUUAACUUUUAGCAAAACACCAGCAAUCAGAAAUCUUUUCUUCGUAGACACAAAAGCAUCGGCACCGAGGUCUCCCAGAUAAUGAUGGCGAUGCACAUUAGCAUAUAUUUUCUUGAGAACUGAACUGUCAUAAGGCUAGCCUUGAAAGCUAUUCAGAGUAUUUACAGCUUUUAUGAGGCCCCCCGGGAGAGAAUAAUCUUAAAGUACUGCAGACACUGCUUGGAAGAACUGUGAAAAACAUUCAAUUUAGGAACAAUUUUGUCUCCAUCUAUCUAUUUUUUGUCAGCACUUGCUCCUGCCACAGGUUGUUUCCCAACCCAAAGCCUGGGUCUCUUCUGCCGUAGCAGUGGGUCACAGCAGAAGUGGCUCUGAUGUCCCAGGCAGGGAACAAAGGGUUUGUGGUGGGAAAGAGCAGUGGUGGGUGAAAAGCUUCAGGAAAGAAAACAGUGUUUUCAUGCAAAUACCUCUUUGGAAAUAAGAAAGAGAGGAAGAGAAAUACAAGAAGAUAAAGCAGCCGAAUUGUCUCUAAACAGUGUGUUUUCAGUUUUCCGGGAGGCAUCAGUGGAUUUUUGAGUCUACCCGAAUGCAUGUGUCGUGUCCUAUUACCCCAUCCUCGGGAUGCUGUAACCAUGUCAACCAGAAAGGAAGAAAAAGAAAGAAGAAGAAGAAAAAAAAAAAAAGGAAAACAGCCUGAAACCCACUAUCCUUUUGGAUUAUGCAAAACACAUGAGUACCUGAUCCAGCUUUCUAAAUUACAGGGUUUUACAGCUUUCUGUUUAUAGUGGGAUGUCACAAAUUGUAAUGAUCUGCUAUAUCAUUAUGGGAGCAGAUGCCAAACUUAGAUCUCGAAAUGUUUAUAAAAAGACUCUUGCUCGCUGUGCUGCUGCAGAGGGGUUUCGGAGCUCGUUGGCAAGUUGGGCGGACCAGGGGAAGGUUUGCCCAGGGGCGUGCACACAUGCAAACACAGCUGCAGAUCUGCUUGCGUGUGGAGCCCUUCCCACGUGCAUGGCUGCUGCGAGCCAUGGUGAUGUGCCACGAGGGGCCGGAUCCUGCCCUUGCUGCUCACCUACACAUGUGCUGGUUGAACCUGCAAACCCUUUGGUGCGAUCUGCCAGCUACAACGUGCGCCCAGCUGGCGGUAAUUCAGCAAAUACAAGGAGUAAGGACACCAAGAGCCCAGGACCUACUGAAUGGUUACCACGAGCUGCAGAUAACAGGCACGUCCUCAUGCAAAAAUGCCCAUCCAAUCCCGAAGUUUCACUGUCCAAUUAUUUAAUUAAAGCUGCGCUGCAACAGUCAUUACUUGAUUGUCAUUUUUCCUAUUACUUAAAAACUUGAGCGCAAAGCAGAAACAAUCCAUUUCGGCUGCGUUUUCUGUAAGUAAAUGAAAACAGCAAGUCAAGAGACUGAGCAGCCGGCUUGGACCAAGCAUAACAGGCAGAACAUUCCUCUAGCUAUCGGGAAGAUAAUUUCUAAGUGGUAACAACAGCCAUGGAAAUGAAUAGCGCUUUAAAUGCUGCAUAUGGCUGGUGCCAUACAAAUACCCCAGCCAAGCAGUUUGUCCCACCUUAGCUGAAGCAGAAAUCCAGCACCCAGGGGUGCUGCCUCUGCUGAGCAAGGGGGCAUCACUGGUGUCACGGUGUUACUGGUAUCACUGGUGCUCCUGGCCCCAGGCAGCAGGGCCAGCACACUGCUCGCGCUGCUCGUGGACUGGGUGCCAGCACCAGCAUCUGCUGUGCAAAUGAUGGGAGGCUUAUUAAAACAGCAAAAUCCUUCCCGGUGUGAAACAACCCAAGAGGAGCACCAGGCAGUGCCCCGCUUCGCAAAGGUUUGCCAAAAAGCAAGCGCGUGUACAAAUAGAAAAAGAAAUAAAAGAAUUCUUGGAGCUCA